UACAGAGGGGGCAAGCGUUGUUCGGAAUUACUGGGCGUAAAGGGCGCGUAGGCGCCUGCUAAGUCGAACGUGAAAUCCCCGGGCUCAACCCGGGAACUGCGUCCGAUACUGACAGGCUUGAAUCCGGGAGAGGGAUGUGGAAUUCCAGGUGUAACGGUGAAAUGCGUAGAUAUCUGGAGGAACACCGGUGGCGAAGGCGGCAUCCUGGACCGGU
rnacentral:rRNA from 1 species